rnacentral:rRNA from 1 species
AGGGUUUGAUCAUGGCUCAGAUUGAACGCUGGCGGCAUGCCUAACACAUGCAAGUCGAACGGAAACGAUGGGAGCUUGCUCCCAGGCGUCGAGUGGCGGACGGGUGAGUAAUACUUAGGAAUCUGCCCAUUAGUGGGGGACAACUCGGGGAAACUCGAGCUAAUACCGCAUACGCCCUACGGGGGAAAGCGGGGGAUCUUCGGACCUCGCGCUAAUGGAUGAGCCUAAGCCGGAUUAGCUAGUUGGUAGGGUAAAAGCCUACCAAGGCGACGAUCCGUAGCUGGUCUGAGAGGACGAUCAGCCACACUGGGACUGAGACACGGCCCAGACUCCUACGGGAGGCAGCAGUGGGGAAUAUUGGACAAUGGGCGCAAGCCUGAUCCAGCAAUGCCGCGUGUGUGAAGAAGGCCUGCGGGUUGUAAAGCACUUUCAGUAGAGAAGAAAAGCUUAGGGUUAAUAACCCUGAGUCUUGACGUUACCUACAGAAGAAGCUCCGGCUAACUCCGUGCCAGCAGCCGCGGUAAUACGGAGGGAGCGAGCGUUAAUCGGAAUUACUGGGCGUAAAGCGCGCGUAGGCGGCUUUGUAAGUCGGACGUGAAAGCCCUGGGCUCAACCUGGGAAUUGCAUUCGAUACUGCAGAGCUAGAGUAUGGUAGAGGGAAGUGGAAUUUCCGGUGUAGCGGUGAAAUGCGUAGAUAUCGGAAGGAACACCAGUGGCGAAGGCGACUUCCU